UAUCUGACAGAAUAAACACUGUGUGGCAUUAUUAGAUAAGGAAAGGUAUCUAAUCUUUCGCUUAAUAUAUUGUUGUAAACUGGAUGAGUGCAAUAUAAUUUUCAUUUUUCAAUAAUAUUUCCACCGGCUAGGUAGAAUUAAGUCUGUAACACCUACGGAUCUGAUUGUAACUGAAGACGACUUCUAGUGGUGUGUUGCUGAAGAUAACUGCAAUUUGUUCGAAAAUGAGUGACAAACCAGAGAAUACUGACCAAAAAACAAACGGGGAAUCCCAAACACAAAAUCCCCCUCCUGUUGAAAGUACCGAUGGAGAACCCAAAUCCAGAAAGAAGAGAUCUAUACUUGAUUCUCAGGAAAGGGAAAACAUUGGAAUGGAUGGAGCCGAGUGCGAAGAAUUUAAGUAGUAAAUUUUGUAAUAAUGUACCAUAUUUAUUUAGAAAUUAAAAUUUUUAUAUAAGUAAUUAAUAUUUAAGGCUAUAUUUACACUAUCAUAAUGCCGCAAGAUUAAUUUCGAAAACAUUUUCUACAGUUAAUUUUUUGCAUAAAGGAAAUUAUUGUAAAACUUUGUAGUGUAAUGUUUAGGAUUUAUUUUUAAAAUUUGAAGGCCAAAAGUUGCAGCUAUAAAAAUUAAGUAAGAACACUUUGUUUAAUUUCCAUGACAACGCCAAGAAUAUUAUUAAUGAGAGAAAAGUUUAGGUCAAUAAAUAAUGUUUUAAAUUCAAAAUCACUAUUUCCAGCUAGCUUUUUAUUAUAAUACUGAAGUGACGCUUUAACAAACGAACAAAAUAACAUUAAAUACAUUUAUUGCUGAACUUGCUGUUAUUGAAUACGCCCGGUAUAUAAGUGAGGCUAUUUGGGAAGUUUCUUGUCAUAUAUUUAGUAGUAUUCAGUAUUAGUACUCAUCUAGAAGCGGUGUUGGAUGUGUUUAUUUAAAAUUAACAAUUUGGUUGACUCUACAUACAAGCGAAUUAAACCACCAAUAGUGUUCUUUGUCAAACACUUUUCUUUUUCUUGUUUCCCUCUUACCCUCUACAGGAAAGAACAUAUUUUGGUGAGUUUUUCUUUGUUAUCCAUUUUUUAAACCACUUUCCACUUUGAACAGCUAGUUGGGACCCACCAGUUAUAGUCUCAGUAAACACUUAAAAUUAGACAAAGUCGCGCAAUCAUAAUUUAGCAUCCUAUAAUUUAUGGAACUAAAAAAAAUAAAUUAAAUGUUUUGUAGUAGUUUUAAAUUUAAAACGUUAUUAAGGGUACCUAUUUUUGAAACUAGAAAAGUAGUAAAUUCACCGAUUGGAUGUAACUGAAUCAUGGCAAUGAUAAUAUAAAUAAUUUGCAGUGUAAAUUAUAUUCGUAGAUUUAAGAAAAUGAUAGAGUUAUCACGAGUUGGUGUAUAUUUAUAUUUUAAUAUUAUGGUGACAUUUUGUUAAAAAAUAGUAUUAUUGUCGUUAUACGAUAUAUACAUUUUUAAUUAUUUUUAAUAUUUGUAUUGCACUUUGAAACAUGUAGGUAUGUACUUAGUAAAGGAAGUUGUAUACUUUUAUACCAUUUGUAUACCAUUUUUUAGGUAUUAAAGAUGUUUUUAAACUUA